rnacentral:sRNA from 1 species
UCUUUCUGCCGUGUGACUGGCGUUUCCUCCCUUAACUUGGGCCGCUCCCUGACGGGGGUGGCCCUUUCUUUUUUUUAAC